AACGAACGCUGGCGGCAUGCCUAACACAUGCAAGUCGAACGAUGCCUCCCGGCCUAGGGGCGCACGGGUGAGUAACGCGUUAGAACCUGGCCUAAGUUUCCGAAUAACUCCCCGAAAUGGGUGCUAAUACCGGUAAUUGUCUUCGGACCCAAGUUGUAUCGCCUUUGGAUGGGCCCGCGUUGGAUUGGUUAGUUGGUAGGGUAAAAGCCUACCAAGGCGACGAUCCAUGGCUGGUCGGAGAGCAGGACCAGCCAGACUGGAACUGAGACACGGCCCAGACUCCGACGGAGGGGAGGAGUAGGGUAUGUUGGACGCGGGGGGCAAGCGUGAUGACGCCGUGUCGCGUGAGUCGGGAAGGCCUUAGGAUUGUAAAGCCCUCUUGCACGAGAUGAUAGUGACAGUACCGGCAGAAUAAGCUCCGGCUAACUACGUG
rnacentral:rRNA from 1 species